rnacentral:rRNA from 1 species
AUGGGAACGCGAAGAACCUUACCUAGACUUGACAUCUCCUGAAUAGUGUAGAGAUACAUGAAGCCCUUCGGGGCAGGAAGACAGGUGGUGCAUGGUUGUCGUCAGCUCGUGUCGUGAGAUGUUGGGUUAAGUCCCGCAACGAGCGCAACCCUUAUUACUAGUUGCUACCAUUAAGUUGAGCACUCUAGUGAGACUGCCCGGGGUUAACCGGGAGGAAGGCGGGGAUGACGUCAAAUCAUCAUGCCCCUUAUGUCUAGGGCAACACACGUGCUACAAUGGUGAGUACAGAUAGAUGCGAUACCGCAAGGUGGAGCCAAACUCUAAAACUCAUCCCAGUUCGGAUUGUAGGCUGCAACUCGCCUACAUGAAGUUGGAGUUGCUAAUAAUCGCGAAUCAGAAUGUCGCGGUGAAUACGUUCCCGGGUCUUGUACACACCG